rnacentral:rRNA from 1 species
AACGAACGCUGGCGGCGUGCUUAAUACAUGCAAGUCGAGCGAGACCUUCGGGUCUAGCGGCGGACGGGUUAGUAACGCGUGGGAACGUGCCCUUCUCUGCGGAAUAGCCACUGGAAACGGUGAGUAAUACCGCAUACGCCCUUCGGGGGAAAGAUUUAUCGGAGAAGGAUCGGCCCGCGUUAGAUUAGAUAGUUGGUGGGUAACGGCCUACCAAGUCUACGAUCUAUAGCUGGUUUUAGAGGAUGAUCAGCAACACUGGGACUGAGACACGGCCCAGACUCCUACGGGAGGCAGCAGUGGGGAAUCUUAGACAAUGGGCGCAAGCCUGAUCUAGCCAUGCCGCGUGUGUGAUGAAGGUCUUAGGAUCGUAAAGCACUUUCGCCAGGGAUGAUAAUGACAGUACCUGGUAAAGAAACCCCGGCUAACUCCGUG